UACACACCGCCCGUCACACCAUGGGAGUGGGUUCCACCAGAAGUAGUUAGCCUAACCGCAGAGGCGACUACCACGGUGAGAUUACAUGACUGGGGUG
rnacentral:rRNA from 1 species